AUCGGUAAUUCAAUUCGCGAUGAUUGUAUAAGCUACCUGUGGCUGAAAACAAUCAUUGUGGGAUGAACAAGUGAUGAAUUUCUGGGCAAGGGCAGUCAAAAAUGAUUCCAUAUUUGAAAAAAUGUUUCUAUUAACAACAAAUCAAUACAGAAAGUAAAUGUGGGAACACAUUGUGUAUAUAUAUACAUAAUAUACAAAGGACAAUUGGCCUAGGGGGUAGAAUUUCACAUUACACAAGGACCUUAAGGGACAUGCAUACACUUAUUAUUCGUACAGCUUUUUUGUUAGUAGAGCAUUUAAUUGUCUUAAAAUACAGUUCAAUUUAUUUUUGUACGGUUAGAAAAUGUGGUGUUUUUACCAACGAUAGAAAAGGAAAAAAAUCCUUCCUCUCUUGCCCUGCAAGUGUAUACUCGUAAGAUGUCAUGACACGUCAUCAGAAGUGUCCACUUCAUUUGUGGGCUGAGGGGAUAGGGUGUGUCUUUUAAGUGUUUGGAGCGCAAGCAAUGUGAAAUUGAAUGGCCGAAAAACUGUUGGAACCAUUUCAGAGAUGUUAAGGGUAUUAUGACGCUUCCACUGUGGCAGACAAUUUGAGAAAACAGUACAGGAAUUGUAUUAUUCUCCUAAUGAACUCUACCCAAUUGUAAUGUACAAUAUCCCUGCGUAGAUAAAAUCGUCAGGAGUUAUGGAACACAAGAUUGAUUUUCAAGAACUCCUGGCCAGACUGGUUAUCUCAGAGCCAACAGAUCCUAUUAUCAAGUGCAUUAUUAAUAAUAAUCUGCAGAGGCUGAAGAAAUUGAUUAGAGGCAAGGACAUCAAUGCAUUGUACCCUUGUGUUGAGUUACAAGAUGAAGUAACCCCUUUAAUUGCUGCUGUUGCAUUUGCAAAUCAGGAGAUUUGUACAUUUCUUCUGGGAAAAGGUGCUGACUCCAACAAACCAUCAAAGAGAUAUUUAGCACCACUGCAUUAUGCUGGACUGCGUAAAGUUCCAGUGAAUAUUGUGACAACAUUACUGGAAGCAAAGGCAGAUCCAAAUGGUCUAGCAGAACAACAAUUAUUUCCAAUUCAAUUAGCACAUGACAGAGAGGAUAUUGUGAAGGAGCUUCUCAAAUCUGGAGCUUUAAUGUGGCUAAAUCAUGGCGUCCAUCCUGCAAUUGAUCAGAAAUUGGCAAGAAUAAUUGGAAACUUUGCUAAAGAGAGUGAGUUCUUUUCCAAAAUCAAGCUUUUUUUACAUUUUGCACAAGCAAUAAAACAAACAUCCCCAACAGAUGUUUUCAAGCACUAUGAUCUUCACUUACUAGAGGAGAACCCACAAACCCACCUCACAAUGAUUGACAUGUGCUUUAACGUUGAAGGUGCAAAUGAAGACGAAUACUUCCAGAAAGCCAUGAAAUGGUUGAACGACUCCAAGAAACUAGUUUCCUAUGUUGAAGACGUAAGCAAACGUCUGUCCACAGUUCCUCUGAAGUUUAGGGCAGGUGCAUUGAAAUCCUUAUAUAGAGUUGUUUGCGCAAUGAGGGAAAUACCUAAUGAGGUGUCACUUACCCUAAUUCCUGAGUUAGUGAAACUGCUUUCCUCUAAAACAGAAGAUUAUCUUGUGCCAUUGAUCAUUGUUACGCUCUAUUGCAUCACACAGAAGACAAAAGACAAGGAUCGUUGGAGCAACUCUGACCUUGAGGAAAUAUGCAAGCACAUUGUCCCAUGCACACAGAGGAAGGGUUAUCCCUAUGAAUUGAGGAUGUAUGCCUAUGCAUUGCUAGCAGAUCUUUACACAUUUAGUUGUGUUCCUGGUUACAUCAGCUCUCUGGGACUGACUCUGGUACCUGAAGGACUACUUAACUGGGGAAGGGAUGAAAACCUGAAAGUAAAGCUGAGAGAUCUAAACAUGACCUUAGACAGACAACGUUCUGUCUCCAUGUCAACAAGUGAAGAUUCAAAAGACAGUCAUUUGUCAGAAACCAAGAAGAAGAAGAGGAAGAAGAUUAAGAAGAUGAAGAGAACGGCAGAAAAACAAGACAUACCAAAAGAAGAGACAGACACACAAGAAAAUAAAACCUGUUUAGCCUUCAAUACUUCAUCUACUGCUGUUGAGGAAUCUGGCCUUGAUGAGUGUUCUAGUGUCAAGCCAUUCCACCCCACCACUGACACGUCACCAUUACAGCGCAAAUGGCACAAAGUCAGCAAGCGGUGGGAGACACAGUUAGAGAAGCUUGCCAACGUGGAUGAAAGUAAAGUUUAUAAAGUAGGAAACCUCAAUCUUAUAUAUAAUGAUGAUUACUUUCGCAUAGCAAAGGGAAGUGAUGGAACUGAGGUCUUCUUGGGCCUGAGGGAUGAUGGCACUGAAGUAGCUAUAAAGAGAAUGAUCAGGUCAAACUAUCAGUUUCUCAAGAGUGAGGAAGGAUUUUUUCAUCUUCCAGAGCUUGACAGUAGCUGUAUUGUGAGAUACAUGGACUUUGCAGAAGACAGUUUCUUUGGUUAUCUUGCUCUUCAGCUCUGUGAAUACACUCUGGAUGAGUACAUUAAUACACACCUGUCCAAGGACGACACUCAUGCCCUGAUGAAAAUCACUCAAGAGGUGCUCCGCAGUUUAAGUGUCCUUCAUGGUCCAACUACCAAAGUCCUUCAUCGGGAUAUCAAACCUCAGAAUGUUUUGAUAGAUAUCAAUGGAAAUGCAAAAUUGGCAGAUUUUGGCAUAAGUCGCAGAUUGACAGUGGAACAAACAACUCUACACACAGUCCCUGCGGGAACAAAAUGCUGGAUGGCCAAGGAGAUGUUAGACAAACAAGCCUCUGGAUAUAAGAGGAGCUCUGACAUACAGGUGGCUGGGAUGUUGGUAUACUACGUUCUUUCUGGUGGACACCACCCCUUUGAAGGUCCACUUGGUGAUGAACUUGAACAGAAUCAAAACAUAAUCAAGGGGACUUACACACUAGAACAUGUGGCAGACGAGGUUGCGAAGGACCUCAUUGAGUGGAUGAUCAAUGAAGACCCUGCUGGGAGACCUACAGUGGAGGAGACCCUGAAUCAUCCCUCUUCUGGAAACCACAGAGGAGAGUUGAGUACUUGAGAAUAAUUGGGAAUGAGGAGGUCGGGAAGUAUAGCGACGCUGACCAAAAACUUCUAGAAGCUCUGAAACAAAGUGCUACGGAGAGAACCUUCUGUCAGUGGAGAUCCAAGCUGCCCUCUGAAUUGAUGAAAAAGAUGGAUGGCAAACAGCCCUACCCUGAGAACAUGUUGGGGUUACUACGCUUCAUACGCAACCUCCAUGAGCACAAUGCUGAGGUUUUAGAAUCUGUUGACCUGAUGACUAUGUUCCCUGAUCUCUUUGGAUGCGUCUACAUGUUGGCCAAGAAACAGAGCUGGAAUUCAAGGCCUGGUCUGAAAAAUGUGUUUCAGAGAGAUCUAAGCUCAUGAUUCUGAAAUGUAAACUGUCAUUUGAACUGAUGAAAUAUGAACUAUUGUAAUACUUUUGACUUUGUUGGUAGAGGCAAUGAUUUUAACUGUCUCAAGGACAUUUUAUAUUCUAUAUUUUCACUGAUAGAUCUAAUAUCCAUAUGAUUUUUACAAAUAAUGAUCUUACAUGGUUAUAGCCUACAUAUUAUGGGAGUUACUACAAAAAUACAGUACUCACAAAGCUUUGGUAAAAUGAUGUGAUUACUUUUUUUAAAACUGUCUUCACUUAAGGUAUAUGGGAUUUGUAUUAAUAUAAAUGAUCUGUAUGAGAUUUCAGGGAUGUCUGGAUCAAAGUAUUGACAUGUUUUUUUUCUAUCUGUGUUUUGCUUGAUAUGAAAAUGAAGUCUGUCCAAGAGUGCAUUGAAACCUGAUUGUAUUUCUUAAAUCCGUGAUCUAUCAAUGGAUGAGUUGUGAUCACCAAAAUGAGAAAUACAAUGGAGGCACUGUGACGCCCUCUUGUGGAUAGAACUGUGAAGGUUACAAAUGUAGUGAUCAACUUUUUAAUUUUUUUUUUAAAAUUCAUGAAACACCACAGUAAAAUGUUAAUGCACCUCUCUCAAUAUAAUAAAGGCUAUCAAAGAGCAAUAUAAAACUGCCAUCUUACCCUAUGUGAGGUUCUAAAACAGAAACACAUUUAACCCACACUUAUCAGGCACUUAUUUGCAGCUUUUAAGUAAGAACCAAUAGCUGCAGGGUUGCUGGUUCAAACGACUGGAGGGUUGCUGAAAUCUAAUUUAAGUGAUACCUAAUAAGGGUCCAAUAAACAACAUAUGAAACAUUUUGAAACUACAAAUUAGAGGCUAAAAAGUGUGGGCUAAAAUAUAGUGUUAGGCUGCCAUCCUAACGUCUUACUCUGAGCUGGGCUUUAAAUUGCUUUAUAUGGUCAUCCACUCUCCUAGCCCUAAUGUCUUCAGCCAUCUGUCCUUUAUCCCUUGACUCCCUGAACUCCUCAGUCAUCGUCUGGAAUUUCCACCUCAACUCCCCAACCUGCCACUGAGGGUUGUCAGGUCACCUGAGAUGACAAUAUUGUAUACUGAUGUCAACUAUAACAGAAGAUAUUGUUGUGGUGAAAGUAUUGUGAGCUAUUGGCGUAUUUGAACCAUACAGGAUCACCUUCAAACUGUUCAUGCUCACCUACGAUGCACUGAAUGCGCUGGCGCUAAACAUACCUUACUGACCAUUUGCACCCCUAGAUUCCCGACCUGCUCACUGCACUCUAACAAUGGCCUCCUCAUCCUGCCUUGACCCAGGCUCCGCUCCAUAGGAGACGUUGCUUUUAGCAGUGCAGUACCCCAAAGAAGCACACAAAAACGGAUCAAAACUGGCACGAAUCUCCAGUUUAUUGUACAGAUGUGAUGGUACAACGCAGUGGGCACUGUUGCUCCAGCGCUGCGGGAUACAGUUCUACUGUGACAGAGCCAAGGCGAGCACACCAUGUUUCACUAUUUUACCAGAUAUUCAACUGACCAACAAGCCAGAUAAAGUCAGUUAUAAACACAAUCAUGCACGUGACCCAUGACUGUAUCAAUAUUAUAAAGACAUAGUCCACAUAAUAUUCUCUAAUAAUAUACUGUCUGAUAAUAUACGCCAUUAAGCAGACACUUUUCAGUGACUUAGUCAUGCGUAGCUUAACCUCUUUCUGUCACACCCUGAUCAGUUUCACCUGUCUUUGUCCUUGUCUCCACCCCCCACCAGGUGUGUCCCAUCUCCCCUCAUUAUCCCAUGUAUUUAUACCUGUGUUCUCUGUGUCAGUUCGUGUUUGUCAAGGAAACCAGUAGUUUCCCCCUUGCACCUGUAUUUUCUAUAGUUCCUGGUUCCGACCAUUCUGCCUGCGUGACUCCAAGCCUGCCUGCCGUGACUCCAAGCCUGCCUGCCGUGACUCCAAGCCUGCCUGCCGUGACUCCAAGCCUGCCUGCCGUGACUCCAAGCCUGCCUGCCGUGACUCCAAGCCUGCCUGCCGUGACUCCAAGCCUGCCUGCCGUGACUCCAAGCCUGCCUGCCGUGACUCCAAGCCUGCCUGCCGUGACUCCAAGCCUGCCUGCCGUGACUCCAAGCCUGCCUGCCCUGACUCCAAGCCUGCCUGCCCUGACUCCAAGCCUGCCUGCCCUGACUCCAAGCCUGCCUGCCCUGACUCCAAGCCUGCCUGCCCUGACUCCAAGCCUGCCUGCCCUGACUCCAAGCCUGCCUGCCCUGACUCCAAGCCUGCCUGCCGUUCUGUACCUUGCCCCACCACACUGGAUUACUGACCUCUGCCUGAGUCUGCCUGCCAUUCGCUACCUUCUGGACUCUGAUCUGGAUUACUGACUACUGCCUGGGCUUGACCUGUCUUUUUGCCUGCCCGCUGUUCUAGUAAUAAACUUUUGUUGCUUCGACACUGUCUGCAUCUGGGUUUUCCCUAAAAUGUGAUACUUUCUAAAUAUGUUGGAAUACUAAUUGUUUUACGCAAUGAAGAAUACAUGCGUAAUGAAACAAUUCACUUUUAAAUUGUUCUCUAACAUUACGGAAUACCCAAGUCGACUUUUUUUUUUUUUUUUUUGGUGUGACAUGCGUCACCUGUGAUUGCGCCCAGGUGCAUCUCAUUAUUGGUUGGGUGGGAUUUUUUUGUCAAUUCCCAGUUUUUCCCAGUGGCCAGAAGAUUCUGAUUAUUUGUAAAAGUCAGUGUGCCUUGAGAGGACUACAUUUCCAGUAAUGGCAGCCUGGUAGUUGAAUCUUAAGUAUGGCAAAAGUAUGACCCCAAGCCAGGACCAGCUCUCCUUCUCCCUGGGCACAUCUCCCUAAACCUAUGACCUUAUAUAUUUUUUUUUAAAGUGAAAGCUAAUAAGUAUAUAUUGGUGAUAGGAUCAUUGUAUGAGCAUUAGAGCUGAAAAUAUUUUUUGAUUAUUGUGGAGCGCUGCAAUAGGGAUUAUAGAGAUGUGACUCUAAUAUUGAUGAUGAAAGAUAUUGGUGCUACAGAAUAAAUCUGUAUUUGAAAUAUAUCUCAGGCACAUCAGAUACAACUGAUUGCAUUAGGCCGUCAUUGAAAAUAAGAAUUUGUUCUUAACUGACUUACCUAGUAAAAUAAAGGUAAAAAAAUA